AUGUCUUGAAAUUCUGUCAGCAUGAAGUAUUGUGUGAUGAAAACAAUGUGUUUUUUACUGCAAUGUGGAAAUCAAUAAUAAGUUGGUUGGAAAGGAGGUUGAACUGCCUGUUGUUGUUUUUGGAAUACUGAAGAACAGUUUUAACAGGUUAAACUCUUGCCACAAGGCAAAAUUGACAUCGAUGGGAAGAUCCUUUGGAAAGAAUGUGCAUCAUCGCCUGCCUGAUGUAUGGACUUUUAAACCUGGUUUUUACCCUGCACAAGCUGGCAAACUUGAGGGGACCAAGAGUGGGAAAACCUCGCCCUGUCCUUGACCAAGAAAGCUCGAUUUGUUGAGAGAUCAACUGGCAUAAGAGAUGCUCAAGAGGAGAAGGACACAAGCAGCAUCAAUGGUACAACUACGUGUCGCUCCAGCGCCCGCUUUCCAGGUAUCUACCAGCUGCUUUCCAGGUCCCUCCACCCGCCAAGAUCAGGUCUAAUUCCCUGCACUGGCUGCUUUCCAGGUCCCCUAGCAGUCAAGGUCUCUCCAGUAGCUGCUGUGCAGGUCCCAACACCGUAUGCCGUCAAGGUCCCUCCAUAAGCUGAAAUCCAGGUUCCUCAUUCCACUGCGGUGCAGGUACCUCCAACAGCUGAGAUCCAGGUCUCUGCAGCAGCUGCGGUCUAAAUACUCCACCCGCAGUGGUCCAUUGCGGUCAACCUUUUGCUUUAAAAUCUUCCAUAAAUGUCUAUUAUUUUAUAAUGUAUUGUAAAAAUAAUCUGUUUGUAUAAAUUUGCGGUGUACUAUUUUUGUCAUAUAAACAUAAUUUUCGUA